rnacentral:siRNA from 1 species
GGCAGAGGGUCAAGCGUUAUAUGG